UACGUAGGGUCCGAGCGUUUGUCCGGAAUUACUGGGCGUAAAGAGCUCGUAGGUGGUUUGUCGCGUUGUUCGUGAAAACUCACAGCUCAACUGUGGGCGUGCGGGCGAUACGGGCAGACUUGAGUACUGCAGGGGAGACUGGAAUUCCUGGUGUAGCGGUGGAAUGCGCAGAUAUCAGGAGGAACACCGGUGGCGAAGGCGGGUCUCUGGGCAGUAACUGACGCUGGAGGAGCGAAAGCAUGGGGAGCGAACAGG
rnacentral:rRNA from 1 species